rnacentral:rRNA from 1 species
UGCAGUCGAGGGGUAUAGGUUUUCGGACCUAGAGACCGGCGCACGGGUGCGUAACGCGUAUGCAAUCUACCUUUCACAGAGGGAUAGCCCAGAGAAAUUUGGAUUAAUACCUCAUAGUAUAACGACUCGGCAUCGAGAUGUUAUUAAAGUCACAACGGUGAAAGAUGAGCAUGCGUCCCAUUAGCUAGUUGGUAUGGUAACGGCAUACCAAGGCGACGAUGGGUAGGGGUCCUGAGAGGGAGAUCCCCCACACUGGUACUGAGACACGGACCAGACUCCUACGGGAGGCAGCAGUGAGGAAUAUUGGACAAUGGGCGCAAGCCUGAUCCAGCCAUGCCGCGUGCAGGAUGACGGUCCUAUGGAUUGUAAACUGCUUUUGCACAGGAAGAAACAACUCUACGUGUAGAGUCUUGACGGUACUGUGAGAAUAAGGAUCGGCUAACUCCGUGCCAGCAGCCGCGGUAAUACGGAGGAUCCAAGCGUUAUCCGGAAUCAUUGGGUUUAAAGGGUCCGUAGGCGGUCUUAUAAGUCAGUGGUGAAAUCUCCCCGCUCAACGGGGAAACGGCCAUUGAUACUGUAGGACUUGAAUUAUUAGGAAGUAACUAGAAUAUGUAGUGUAGCGGUGAAAUGCUUAGAGAUUACAUGGAAUACCAAUUGCGAAGGCAGGUUACUACUAAUGGAUUGACGCUGAUGGACGAAAGCGUGGGUAGCGAACAGGAUUAGAUACCCUGGUAGUCCACGCCGUAAACGAUGGAUACUAGCUGUUGGAAGCAAUUUCAGUGGCUAAGCGAAAGUGAUAAGUAUCCCACCUGGGGAGUACGUUCGCAAGAAUGAAACUCAAAGGAAUUGACGGGGGCCCGCACA